GAUGUUUGGGGGGGGGAAUGUCCCCUCUCUCUGCCACUGAGAUUGCUGUCGCUUCCCCGGCCCAGGGCCGCUCUCCGCCUGGCAGACGGUGUCAAAGCCCAAGUUCAAGUCCACGCCGAGGGCUCUGCCCGGGAUUCCCAGCUCUUUUCCAUCCUCCGCCUUUUGUUCGCCUCUGACAAUUGCUCUUUAUUUCUUACACACCCCCAGCCUCUCCCACCCCCCCUCCUCCCUGCCCGCACUUGGCACCGUUUAGCUGCCUGCCUGCAAACUUAACAACCCCGGUUCUUGGUAUAAGCACUCAAAGUACCCUUCUUUCUACAUAUAAACACGGCCCGGGGGUGUGCGGCUCCUCCCGGCCGCGGGGUCCCCCCUGCGCAGCCCGGCUGCCCCUCACCGGCCCCGGCCCCGCACCGGCCGCAGGAACUUUCUGCUGCGGGACACGGCGGGAGCAAAAUGAGCUGGAUCCAGCACCCCCCCCCCCAACCCUGCGGGGGCUACCCCGGGCCAGCGCUCAGGCGGUGUUGACAGAAGAGGAUGGGAGGAGAUAUCAAUGGCAGGCACACGUGUCCCGGGAGAGGGUGAGAUGCAAGCGGAGACAGAGCAAGAAGUGAGCUUCAGAUGGCUCCAGAGAAGAAACUCAACCCCUCUUUGGAAGGUGGGGGGCACGCCAUGAAGCACCAACCCCUCCAGGCAUCGAGGAGGACCCAGUGGCCAACAAUUCCCAUGCAGGCAGUCAAGCCGAGUGGGGCAGAGCCAGGAGCAGCCAGGGAGGAAGGGAAGGAGGGAGGUGGCAGGAACAUGGACCACAGCCUGGGCAUCCCUGUACCAGCAACUGGGAGCAUGAUGGCAUGGAGCAUCUUAUGACAUGGACGUGCAAGGGAAGACGCUUGCAGGGUCAGAGCAGAGCAAAGGGGGAGAGGUUGGGAGGUGCCAUUCAGGAACCAUCACGCCUCUGGGAUGUGCCCACAGGUAGAGUGGGAUGUGUGAAGGGGGAAACGAUUGCUCCAGCACUUGGAGUAAAGGCCUAAAGGUGGAACACGCGAAGCAAAGGGCUGAGAUGGGAGAGAAACCCCACUUCCAGGGCACCUCCUCCGGUGGGAGAUGACUUUGGAGGGGUCAUGGAGGUCUGAGCUAGCUGAGGGUUUGGCUGGGUGAAGUUAGGGUGAUGUUUCUAACUUGAUUGCAACCAAGCCAGCUCUGCUGGGGAUGGAGGUGUUGUUUAUUAAUGAUGGUUAAAGGAAGGGACCAGCAGAUUUUUACAUCCCAGCAAGCGUGAGGAGGAGGAACAGGCCCUUUCCCAGGCAUUGAACAUGAGCCAUGACUGUACCACUUUGCUGCAGGGCUUUCAAGGCGUCAGCCACGUCCCAAAAAAUAGAUGAUGAAGAAAGGGAGAAUAAACCCCAGUGCAAGCAAGGAAGCACAACCCCCUCUGCCUUAGGGCUGCUCUCUCUAAAGGCUUGACCCUAUUUUAUGGACCCAUGAGGCAAACCCCAAACACAGAGCACAUACCAAUUGAUGGGGGUCUUUCAUUUCAGCUUCAGACCAGGGACCCCCAUUUCCACAGCUGCUGAUCCAAUCACCACAGCCUUUUGUCCCGAGCAAGAGCUCCCUUUGGGAAGGUGAUUUCACCCCCAUAUGCACCCUCCCUGCUUCUCUUUGGGUUGCUCCUUCCCUCCAGCCCCUUUAGCAUCCCUUUACCCUAUUAAUAUCUUCUGACUGUCCUCACACCUGCAGACAAUCUGGUCCCCAACCACCUCCACCACCCCCCUCCUCAAAAGCUUCCCUCAGCUGUCUUUAAGCCGUAGCUGAAAUCUGCGGUAUGUAGGAGGAGAAAUUCAGUCUGACAGCAGUUUAAAACACUGCACUACUUGGCAGAUUUAAAUGCUAUUUUAAAUAUAAGCUAUGACACAACGGACAAAAAUAGCAUUGAAAAUACCCUGUCAUGUUCCAUAUUGCGAGGAAUAGGGAAGCAGACCAGGCUAGAAAGGAGCAGGGAGAGGGGCCAGAUGGAGAGGAGAGGUUAUUUUGUUUGUUUUAAGGGAACGGGAUGGAUGUAUUUUGUAUGUGCCUGGGUAAAUGUGUUUUAUGGAGCACGGAGCCAAAAGUGAAAUAAAUCAACCUUCUCAUGA